ACGACUCGGAGGAAGGUGGGGACGACGUCAAAUCAUCAUGCCCCUUAUGUCUUGGGCUACACACGUGCUACAAUGGCCGCAACAGAGGGAAGCGAGAGCGCAAGCUGGAGACAAAACCCUAAAAGCCGGUCCCAGUUCGGAUUGUGGGCUGCAACCCGCCCACAUGAAGUCGGAGUUGCUAGUAAUCGCGAAUCAGCAUGUCGCGGUGAAUGCGUUCCCGGGCCUU
rnacentral:rRNA from 1 species